GGAAUGGACAGAGUUCGGGGGGGGGGGUGUCUAUGUCUAUCACCCAUAUGACUUGAUCACUUUAAAUCUGUCCACAGCCACCUUUGCUGUACCCUCCAUGCUGCUCUUUGAUUCAGUCAUACAUUGUGUUUUGUUUGCUAUUUCUGCUGCACCACCCGUUCCAGCCACGGCCUUUCCCCAUCACUGCAUUAGAUUUCCCCCCAUCUCUUUCCUUCCUGUUCUUUCCAAUCCUUUUUUUUUCUGUUUGUCUUUUUCUAAUCUGUCACAUUUAUUUCCCUGGAGUCAAUUUGCUAAAAUUAAGGUGAUCAUCUACAGCACAGCAGGAGUAAUUUGGGCUCGCAUCUCUGAAAAUUGCUCUAAUUAUUGAUGUUAAACUCAGGGAAAUUAAAAGAAGCCACUUCUCUUCCAUCUCCCAAUUUUUAAGCUCUAAUUUGUUGAUAUCUAGUCGUCAUCACAAUUCCAAUCACUACUGCUAAUAGCAAAAGUGUCUUAACGGAGACUGAGUCCUCACAACCCAUGCUAUUAGAUAAUUAGAGGAGGUGCUGUGAAGUCAAGUGUUAAUCCUUGGGCACUGCAGUAGGAUUUCCAUCUGAUCUAGCAGGUAGAACAAAUUAAUUACCAGAAUCAAUUAGGCACCAAACUUCAGUGCUUCAGGAAGUGGAAGUGUCCUAUUCCACAUGGACACACGGGUAAGCAGAUAGGAGAGGAAGCAGAAGAAAGCGUGGUGGGGAGAUAGGGAAAUAAAGUCUUGGUAAGAAGGCAUGUAAAUGAAGUCGGAACUGUUUCUCUUUGUCUGAGAGGUGACUUGUGUUUUGAAGUUUGUAAUAGUAAGAAGAGAAGGUGGGAGAGGAGAUGACCACCGAAAGGGGGAUAGUAGAGUUUACAGAAGUUCCCUGACCAAGUCAUCGUCCUGGCCAAGUCAUCGCUUAUGGUACUGAGGGAGAUGAAGGAAAACGUUGAAGGGGCGCUGAGGUGACGAUCCACACAAUGGAAGUCCAUCCAUCUCUACUCUCAGUGGGACAGCGAGAAUGCAGUCCCCCACUACCCCGAAUUAUGCAGUCUAGUUUCCUGCAGUUGGGGAAAUCGCAGGGGUCAGCACAUCCAGAGUGCAAUGGAUAAGCCUCGCCCUGGGAAAACCACCUUCGUGAUUAUGGCAUCUCCCCUGCCAGAAGAAGGCACCAGAUCUCAUAACAGAUGGUUGUGAGCCACCAUGUGGUUGCUGGGAACUGAACUCAGGACCUCUGGAAGAGCAGCCGGUGCUCUUAACCUUUGAGCCAU
rnacentral:lncRNA from 1 species